AAGCAUAUCAAUAAGCGGAGGAAAAGAAACCAACAGGGAUUCCCCUAGUAACGGCGAGUGAAGCGGGAACAGCUCAAAUUUGAAAUCUGGCCCUUGGGUCCGAGUUGUAAUUUGCAGAGGAUGCUUUUGGUGCGGUGCCUUCCGAGUUCCCUGGAACGGGACGCCUUAGAGGGUGAGAGCCCCGUACGGUUGGCCACCAAGCCUGUGUAAAGCUCCUUCGACGAGUCGAGUAGUUUGGGAAUGCUGCUCAAAAUGGGAGGUAUAUUUCUUCUAAAGCUAAAUACUGGCCAGAGACCGAUAGCGCACAAGUAGAGUGAUCGAAAGAUGAAAAGCACUUUGAAAAGAGGGUUAAAUAGCACGUGAAAUUGUUGAAAGGGAAGGAUUUAUGACCAGACUUUUUCUGGGGGGAUCAUCCGGUGUUCUCACCGGUGCACUUCCCCCAGUUGAGGCCAGCAUCGGUUUCUGUCGGGGGAUAAAAGCUUCAGGAAUGUGGCUCCUUCGGGAGUGUUAUAGCCUGUUGCAUAAUACCCUGACGGGGACCGAGGUUCGCGCAUUGCAAGGAUGCUGGCGUAAUGGUUAUUAAUCACCCGUCUUGAAACACGGACCAAGGAGUCGAACAUUUGUGCGAGUGUUUGGGUGUUAAACCCUCACGCGUAAUGAAAGUGAACGGAGGUGAGAGCCUUUAGGGGUGCAUCAUCGACCGAUCCUGAUGUCUUCGGAUGGAUUUGAGUAAGAGCAUAACUGUUCGGACCCGAAAGAUGGUGAACUAUGCGUGGAUAGGGUGAAGCCAGAGGAAACUCUGGUGGAGGCUCGCAGCGGUUCUGACGUGCAAAUCGAUCGUCAAAUCUGCGCAUGGGGGCGAAAGACUAAUCGAACCAUCUAGUAGCUGGUUACCGCCGA
rnacentral:rRNA from 1 species